rnacentral:ribozyme from 1 species
UCUUCCCAACCUGCUUUUGGUGCCUCCACCCCCACUUCUUCCGCUUCUACACUCCCCUUCUCUUCACUCUCUCUCUCUCC